UCUUGCUUCUGAGUCGAGCAUUUGUUUUUCAUCUAUUUCGCACAUCUCUCUUCUCUCGCGUUCUUUGUAUUUCCCCGUCUCUGUCUGAGGCUGAAACACUAAAAUUAGAGGAUUUCUCGCCAUAUUUCUUGGAAAGCUUUCGUCCCCCUGCAAAGGUAGAAGAGGAUUGAAAAGUGUUGCUCAUGAUGACUUCGUUGGAAAUAUGAUGGGGAUUCUAAGUACAAUGUGUACUAUCUUAUGCAAAAUCUGAUCCACUCUCUUUAGAGUAGCCUUAGGCUCCAUGGAUUCACAGAGUCAGAACACUUCAUUACAACGGCUUCAAAAUGUUGAGAAGAGAAUCGUUAGGGUUUUGGAGCUGGCAGGAGGGGUUAUGGAUGAGCUGGCCAACCCAACUGGACCCAGAAAGGAUCUCAUCAACAACCACUGCCUUGAGUUCAUGAAGAUGAUCAAGGAUAUCCAAGUCACAUUGCGAGAUGAAAUCAAAAGUGCAUGUGAAUACCGCCCCUUUGAGAAGUGUGAUUACAGUUCAAGAAUUGCCAAUGAAAUCUGUUGCAAGAAACUGGAAUAUGUCGUUUCACAGUUGGAUGGAAUGAAACAAACUGUUGAUGAAUAUCAUGGUGCAAUGUGAAGGUGAAGAUGCGCGAUACAGAAGUGCUGGAUUGGUAUGGUAGAGGAAAGGAGAAAAACCUGGAGUGCAUUUAGGUAGUAGCUUAUAAACAGUUUAAGAAAUGGAGAAUGUUCUCAUUUGAUGAUUCUUCUGUGUUUGUUAGGUUACUUUAGAAAUAUAGGUUGAAACUGCAAUGUCUCUAUUUUCAACAGAUGCCUGGUUCAGCGACAUGAUCAUCAUAUUUUUGCGUCUUGAUAUUCGAUGUUUUUGUUGCUAAUAUAUUCAAACCUUGGGUCA